GCCUUCGUGGUGUAGUGGUCAGCACGCUCGACGCGUAACCGAGAGGUCCGUGGUUCGAUUCCCGGGGAAGGCA
rnacentral:tRNA from 1 species